rnacentral:rRNA from 1 species
CACGUAGGGCGCAAGCGUUGUCCGGAAUUAUUGGGCGUAAAGAGCUCGUAGGCGGUCUGUUGCGUCCGCUGUGAAAACUCGGGGCUUAACCCCGAGCCUGCAGUGGAUACGGGCAGACUAGAGGUAGGUAGGGGAGAAUGGAAUUCCCGGUGUAGCGGUGAAAUGCGCAGAUAUCGGGAGGAACACCGGUGGCGAAGGCGGUUCUCUGGGCCUUACCUGACGCUGAGGAGCGAAAGCGUGGGGAGCGAACAGGAUUGAGAAACCCC